UGUUCAUUCAUUUUUGCAGGUUGGUGUCCUUAUCGAGGAGCCAUUUCCAAUGCUUGCACUCGAUGAGCUAUGUCAGCGUGUUCACGACAACAUCCACGAAGCAAUGGCAAACGAAAAGCAGAUUCAAGAAAUAGUAAACAGCAAAAGAAAAAGAAGUUUUAGUGAACACUCUCCAAAUGGUUGGCCAACAUCAUAGGAUUGACUAGAAAUUACGUCUUAAAAACGAAAGACUGAAGUCUUCUCUAUCAUGACUUCAGCAACUGUACAUAAAGAGGGAAUGUCCCAUAUAUGAAUGUUGUUUCAAUGUCUGGGAAAACAAAGGGAAGACAUAUUUCUAUUACCAUAUAUGUAAAUAUAUAGUUCUGG
rnacentral:misc_RNA from 1 species